rnacentral:rRNA from 1 species
AGAGUUUGAUCAUGGCUCAGAAUCAACGCUGGCGGCGUGCCUCAGACAUGCAAGUCGAACGAGAAAGUUCCCUUCGGGGAGCGAGUAAAGUGGCGCACGGGUGAGUAACACGUAGGUAAUCUACCUUCGGGUGGGGAAUAACCCAGGGAAACUUGGGCUAACACCGCAUAAUGCAGCGGCACCACAUGGUGACAGUUGUUAAAGCGGGGGAUUUUCGGACCUCGCGCCUGAAGAGGAGCCUGCGGCAGAUUAGCUUGUUGGUAAGGUAACGGCUUACCAAGGCGACGAUCUGUAGCCGGCCUGAGAGGGCGGUCGGCCACACUGACACUGACAUACGGGUCAGACUCCUACGGGAGGCAGCAGUCGGGAAUUUUGGGCAAUGGGCGAAAGCCUGACCCAGCAACGCCGCGUGAAGGAUGAAAUCCCUCGGGAUGUAAACUUCGCAAGAAUGGGAAGAAUUAGUAGGGGUCAAUACCCCCUAUGAUGACGGUACCAUUUGUAAGCUCCGGCUAACUCCGUGCCAGCAGCCGCGGUAAUACGGGGGGAGCAAGCGUUGUUCGGAUUUACUGGGCGUAAAGGGCGCGUAGGCGGCCAGCGCAAGUCGGUUGUGAAAUCUCCGGGCUUAACUCGGAAAGGUCAACCGAUACUGCGCGGCUAGAGUGCGGAAGGGGCAACUGGAAUUCUCGGUGUAGCGGUGAAAUGCGUAGAUAUCGAGAGGAACACCUGCGGCGAAGGCGGGUUGCUGGGCCGACACUGACGCUGAUGCGCGAAAGCCAGGGGAGCGAACGGGAUUAGAUACCCCAGUAGUCC